rnacentral:lncRNA from 1 species
CAUGAGAUAGUCAUGUGUUCAGGAGUAACAUCCAGAAUAUUAAUAGGACCUGUUGGUGGCCCAGGAACAUCAAGAACAGUAAGAUGUACGGCUACUGUUUUGCUACCGGCUGCAUUGGAAACUGUGAUUUGAUAUUCCCCAGUGUCUCUCCUUAAGCAGUUCUUAAUGAGAAUAGACGCCUUGAUGGCUCCUCUGGCAGUUCUUGAUGACCAUGGAUGAGCUAAUGGCUGUGGUCUCAAUGGUGGCUUCUUGAGAUUAUUUACAGCUGUGAUGGUAUAUAAGCCAGUGUCACUCCUGCGAGACUGCGGAAUAACUAAAGUGCAAGUAUCAUCUACCACCAGUUUGUUGACAUGGGUGUCAUAGAGAACAGGUUCUUUGUUAUCAGGCUUCUUUGGAGGAGCUUUAAACCAGGAGCAUGCAGAGAAAUUGCUUUAGCCUCUGAUAAAUAAAACAGACUGCGAGGAAAAUUACAGCGAGGAAAUUACAGACAUCAUCUCCUUUGAACAGGGAAAAGGUAACAGGAACUACUUACAGAUUGGAUCAUGUGCUGUUUUGGGAUCUGAAGGUGGACUGAACUUUCCAGGUCCAGCUGCAUUUUCAGCACAUACUCUGAAGACAUAGCUGAUUGAGAAACUUACCAAACUGAU